rnacentral:misc_RNA from 1 species
AAUUCUCAACUUCAUCAAUUUUUUAAAAAAUUGUGUGAAGCUUGGAUAUGGGGGCUUGCAGAACAUCUUGUAGUGUACUGCUCUCCUUAAAUGAAUUAGCAAGUUCAAACUGAGCUAUAUCUAUUGGUGUGAUAAUUAUCUACGCUAUUGAUUGAGCUUAGACUUGCUUCUAACUGUCUGAAAAGACAAUUUUUUGACA